rnacentral:rRNA from 1 species
GACGUAGGGUGCAAGCGUUGUCCGGAAUUAUUGGGCGUAAAGAGCUCGUAGGCGGUCUGUCGCGUCUGCUGUGAAAACUCGGGGCUUAACCCCGGGCCUGCAGUGGGUACGGGCAGACUAGAGUGCGGUAGGGGAGACUGGAAUUCCUGGUGUAGCAGUGAAAUGCGUAGAUAUCGUAAGGAAGACCAGUGGCGAAGGCGAGUUCCUGGACAGUUGCUGACGCUGAGGCACGAAGGCCAGGGGAGCAAACGGG